AGUGAACGCUGGCGGUAGGCCUAACACAUGCAAGUCGAACGGCAGCACAGUAAGAGCUUGCUCUUACGGGUGGCGAGUGGCGGACGGGUGAGGAAUACAUCGGAAUCUACUUUUUCGUGGGGGAUAACGUAGGGAAACUUACGCUAAUACCGCAUACGACCUACGGGUGAAAGCAGGGGAUCUUCGGACCUUGCGCGAUUGAAUGAGCCGAUGUCGGAUUAGCUAGUUGGCGGGGUAAAGGCCCACCAAGGCGACGAUCCGUAGCUGGUCUGAGAGGAUGAUCAGCCACACUGGAACUGAGACACGGUCCAGACUCCUACGGGAGGCAGCAGUGGGGAAUAUUAGACAAAGGGCGCAAGCCUGAUCCAGCCAUACCGCGUGGGUGAAGAAGGCCUUCGGGUUGUAAAGCCCUUUUGUUGGGAAAGAAAAGCAGCAGGUUAAUACCCCGCUGUUCUGACGGUACCCAAAGAAUAAGCGCCGGCUAACUUCGUG
rnacentral:rRNA from 1 species